rnacentral:lncRNA from 1 species
UCUAUAGAUACAUAUUAUAAAAACAAAAUCUUUUUGAUGCAUUAUUUGUUUUAUUAUAAAAUAAUGAAAACCAUAUCAAUAAAUUAAAAGUUUGAAUAUAUUUCUAACUGUUGAGAGCACUAAUUUGCAUUUAGAAAUUUCUUUAUAACUAUGUUUGUAAAUCUUCUUCCAAUAUAAACAAUAUGAAGUGUGCAUCACAAAUAAAUUUAUCAAAAUGCCUCAAGAGGUUAAAACCCUCCCUCCAGUCUCCAGUCAAUUUUUUUUAAUGAAUUUUCAAAUUUACCUCAUACAUUCAAAUGCAAGAAUUUAAGGAAUCUCAAAAUCAAAGGAAGAAAACAGUUUGGCAAUAAUUUAUAAAUUAUAUAGUUAUCAAUAAAGUUGUAAACUUAAUUGUUGUAAAAAAAAAAUCACAUUCCCAGUACAGGACAAUAUUACCCCUGUAGUAGUCAUGAUAAAGCUGACUUUAAAUACAAACUGACCUUGAUCUUUGAUCUAAAAAUCGUGUUCUAUACAUUUUCAUUUUUUGUAAGUUUUAAUUAGAGUUACCAUCCAGAAUUUUUUCUACCAGACAUAUGGAGAGACAAGCAGAAAAACAAGGAUAUCUUUAUGCUCUAGAUUUUUAUUUGUGUCCCUAUAAAAAUCAUAGAUUCUCAUCGUCCCUGCCAUAAAGGAGCAAAAACAAUCUAAUGAUUUAUUUUAUUUUUUUUUUUAGAUGGUCUAAAAAAAAACAACAAAAAAUGGCAAAAAAACAACAACAAACCAGAUGCUCCGCAGGGCGUAGCUUUAUACGACCGCAGAUGUUGAACCCUGAACGGUUGGGGCAAGUAUGGACACAACAUUCAAGCUGGAUUCAGCUCUAAAUUUGGAUUGUGAUUAAAUAGUUGACACAGCAUAGGUUUCUGACACAGAAUGAAUGUGUUCUAAUGAACUUAAAAUUUUUGUUUUCUCUUAGAGCAAUUCACUAUGCUGUUGAAUAUUAAUCCUCUCAAAAAAAUGUUUGAAGAAAUUUUCUUUUUUAUUUAUGAAAUUUCAAAUGAGAAAAAUUGAACCCAAUUUUUUAAAUCACAUCCCCCUUUCCCUUAUUCCAAAACUAAUCUCAAUUAAAAUUUCUAAGAGAGUUUGCAACAAUAACUACUCAUUUAAAUACAUCAUAAAAUAUUAAGAUGUAAAAAAACUG